GACGAACGCUGGCGGCGUGCCUAAUACAUGCAAGUAGAACGCUGAAGGAGGAGCUUGCUCUUCUGGAUGAGUUGCGAACGGGUGAGUAACGCGUAGGAAACCUGCCUGGUAGCGGGGGAUAACUAUUGGAAACGAUAGCUAAUACCGCAUAAUAGUAGAUGUUGCAUGAUAUUUACUUAAAAGGUGCAAUUGCACCACUACCAGAUGGACCUGCGUUGUAUUAGCUAGUUGGUGGGGUAACGGCUCACCAAGGCGACGAUACAUAGCCGACCUGAGAGGGGGAUCGGCCACACUGGGACUGAGACACGGCCCAGACUCCUACGGGAGGCAGCAGUAGGGAAUCUUCGGCAAUGGACGAAAGUCUGACCGAGCAACGCCGCGUGAGUGAAGAAGGUUUUCGGAUCGUAAAGCUCUGUUGUAAGAGAAGAACGAGUGUGAGAGUGGAAAGUUCACACUGUGACGGUAUCUUACCAGAAAGGGACGGCUAACUACGUG
rnacentral:rRNA from 1 species